rnacentral:tRNA from 1 species
GGCUCUGUGGUGAAGUUCAUGUUGAGUUGCAAGCUCAUUGAUGUGCGCGAAUGGCGUGCCAGAGUCU